rnacentral:lncRNA from 1 species
CAAAGUUGUUUGCUGAAGUACGAUGGGGAAUUUAUGUUCCCAUUUGGAGUUUCACCUGAGGCAGAGUGCUACUUCCACACUCACCCCUUUAAGCCAGCAUGAUGCCAGUGACUUCAAGGCUCCCAAGAACAAUCGGACCACAAUGUGGAAAAGACAUCAUGACGUGGAAGAAAAUGGCUGUGCAGAUCACCUCUCCUGUACUAUUACAUGAAAAAAAAAAAAUCAAUGAAGUUUGGGGGUUGAAUAAGAAUAGCCUCAUAGGCUCAUAUGUUUGAAUAUUUGUUCUUCCAUUGAAACUGUUUGGGAAGGAUUUGAAGGUAUGGUCUUGUUGGAUGAGGUGUGUCAUUGGGGGUGAGCUUUGAGAUUCCAAAAGACUUGAGUGAUUGUCAGAGGCUCACUCUCUCUCUCUCUCUCUCUCUCUCUCUCUCUCUCUC